AGGCAACGAUCAGUAGCCGACCUGAGAGGGUGACCGGCCACAUUGGGACUGAGACACGGCCCAAACUCCUACGGGAGGCAGCAGUGGGGAAUAUUGCACAAUGGGGGAAACCCUGAUGCAGCGACGCCGCGUGAGCGAUGAAGUAUUUCGGUAUGUAAAGCUCUAUCAGCAGGGAAGAAAAUGACGGUACCUGACUAAGAAGCCCCGGCUAACUACGUGCCAGCAGCCGCGGUAAUACGUAGGGGGCAAGCGUUAUCCGGAUUUACUGGGUGUAAAGGGAGCGUAGACGGCGAUGCAAGCCAGAUGUGAAAGCCCGGGGCUCAACCCCGGGACUGCAUUUGGAACUGUAUAGCUAGAGUGUCGGAGAGGCAGGCGGAAUUCCUAGUGUAGCGGUGAAAUGCGUAGAUAUUAGGAGGAACACCAGUGGCGAAGGCGGCCUGCUGGACGAUGACUGACGUUGAGGCUCGAAAGCGUGGGGAGCAAACAGGAUUAGAUACCCUGGUAGUCCACGCCGUAAACGAUGACUACUAGGUGUCGGGCAGCAAAGCUGUUCG
rnacentral:rRNA from 1 species